AUACUUACCUGGUGCCGGGGCCUCGUUGAUCACCGAGAGCGAGCUCCCAGGGCGAUGCGCGGGCAUUUCACUGGGCUCGCGGGGACCCCUGCCACUACCACAAACUGGGGUAGAUGAGGCAUGCAAAUUGCUUAAAUCUGGUUUAAC
rnacentral:snRNA from 1 species